UACGAAGGGGGCUAGCGUUGUUCGGAAUUACUGGGCGUAAAGCGCGCGCAGGCGGUUCUACAAGUCCGUGGUGAAAGCCCGGAGCUCAACUCCGGAACUGCCAUUGAAACUGCAGAACUUGAGGAUGAGAGAGGUGAGUGGAAUUCCCAGUGUAGAGGUGAAAUUCGUAGAUAUUGGGAAGAACACCGGUGGCGAAGGCGGCUCACUGGCUCAUUUCUGACGCUCAGGCGCGACAGCGUGGGGAUCAAACAGG
rnacentral:rRNA from 1 species